GUUUAAAAUGCAGAUUCUGAGACAUCACCCCAGACCUCCUGAAGCAGAAUCUCUGUGGAUAGAGUCCAGGAAUCUGCAUUUAAACACGUA
rnacentral:miRNA from 1 species